CAGCCGCCGCGGUAAUACGAAGGGUGCAAGCGUUACUCGGAAUUACUGGGCGUAAAGCGUGCGUAGGUGGUGGUUUAAGUCCGUUGUGAAAGCCCUGGGCUCAACCUGGGAAUUGCAGUGGAUACUGGGUCACUAGAGUGUGGUAGAGGAUAGUGGAAUUUCCGGUGUAGCAGUGAAAUGCGUAGAUAUAGGAAGGAACACCAGUGGCGAAGGCGACCACCUGGACUGAUACUGACACUGAGGUGCGAAAGCGUGGGGAGCAAACAGGAUUAGAUACCCGCGUAGUCCCUGUCUCUUAUAC
rnacentral:rRNA from 1 species